UAGGGAAUCUUCCGCAAUGGACGCAAGUCUGACGGAGCAACGCCGCGUGAGUGAUGAAGGUUCUCGGAUCGUAAAGCUCUGUUGCCCUAGACGAAUAGCAGGGGGAGUAACUGCCCUCUGUGUGACGGUAUAGGAGAAGAAAGCCCCGGCUAACUACGUGCCAGCAGCCGCGGUAAUACGUAGGGGGCAAGCGUUGUCCGGAAUUAUUGGGCGUAAAGCGCGCGCAGGCGGUUGGUUAAGUUUGGUGUUUAAGCCCGAGGCUCAACCUCGGUUCGCAUCGAAAACUGGCUAACUGGAGUGUAGGAGAGGAAAGUGGAAUUCCACGUGUAGCGGUGAAAUGCGUAGAGAUGUGGAGGAACACCAGUGGCGAAGGCGACUUUCUGGCCUAUAACUGACGCUGAGGCGCGAAAGCGUGGGGAGCAAACA
rnacentral:rRNA from 1 species